rfam:Candidatus Woykebacteria bacterium RBG_16_39_9b RBG_16_scaffold_1595, whole genome shotgun sequence.
GCUGGCAUAGCUCAGUCGGCAGAGCGCGAUCUUGGUAAGAUCGAGGUCUCCGGUUCGAUCCCGGAUGCCAGCU